UUUCUGCUUUAACACAAUUGUCAUGGGUCUGGAGUUGGACAUGGGCUACAGCUCAUCCAACAUGCUGCACGCGCAUGCAAGCUUACCUGAUAGGCAUCAAGUUGCUCGUCGAAGAUGUCCGCCAUGACUGUAAACCGUAGGCUUAGAGGAUGCAUUAAAAACAUGAGA